rnacentral:rRNA from 1 species
CCCUUAGACGUUCUGGGCCGCACGCGCGCUACACUGACACAGGCAACGAGCUUUCCUUUACCGAAAGGUAUGGGUAAUCUUUUGAAACUGUGUCGUGCUGGGGAUAGAUCCUUGCAAUUUUUGAUCUUAAACGAGGAAUUCCUAGUAAGCGCGAGUCAUCAACUCGCGUUGAUUACGUCCCUGCCCUUUGUACACACCGCCCGUCGCUCCUACCGAUUGAAUGCUCAGGUGAGCCAUUCGGACUUUCAUCAUGCUGGUUUCCAGUUUUGAUGAAGGAAAGUCUUGCGAACCUUAUCAUUUAGAGGAAGGAGAAGUCGUAACA